GGGCGGUUAACUCAGCGGUAGAGUGCCAUCCUCACACGGUGGAAGUCGCAGGUUCAAACCCUGCACCGCCCACCA
rnacentral:tRNA from 1 species